rnacentral:lncRNA from 1 species
AUGCUUUUUACCUCACGGAAUCGUGCAAGUCUCCAAAUCACAGGAAUGGACAAUAGCAGCAGACUAAUGAUCGCAGUCAUCAUGGUAAUGGCAUGCAUGGCGAUGGGAGCCGAGGCACAGAACUCUUCAAUGACUCUGAACGCCACAAUGGCACCCACCGCUACAAUGGCACCAACCACUACAAUGGCACCCAACGCUACAAUGGCACCCAACGCCACAAUGGCACCCAACGCUACAAUGGCACCCAAUGCCACAAUGGCACCCACUACUACAAUGGCACCCAACGCUACAAUGGCACCCAACGCCACAAUGGCACCCAAUGCCACAAUGGCACCCACCACCACAAUGGCACCCACCACUACAAUGGCACCCAACGCCACAAUGGCACCCACCACUACAAGGGCACCCAACGCCACAAUGGCACCCAACGCCACAAUGGCACCCAACGCUACAAUGGCACCCAAUGCCACAAAGGCACCCACUACUACAAUGGCACCCAACGCUACAAUGGCACCCAAAGCCACAAUGGCACCCAAUGCCACAAUGGCACCCACCACCACAAUGGCACCCACCACUACAAGGGCACCCAACGCCACAAUGGCACCCACCACUACAAGGGCACCCAACGCCACAAUGGCACCCAACGCCACAAUGGCACCCACCACUACAAUGGCACCUAAACCGACAAUUACAUCCAACACGGCAAUAGCCCCCACUGUUGUCAACACCACCGUCCCAGCUCUCACGCAAAACAUCUUAAGGGCGGAUUGUGGAAAGACUCAGUUCUGUGCUGCUGAGCCAUCAGACUGUGACCCGGCCAUGGCUGGUUCAUGUUUCUUCGUCUCCACGCGGCAGUCCUCGGGACAGACCUUCUCCCUCCAGCUACGAGGAGAGUCCAGAGGCUACAUCGCUGUAGGCUUGUCCAAAAACACCACCCUGGGCGUUAAUGACACUACCUACGUGUGUGCCAACAACAACGGCACAAUGAAGUUCUUCACCACUCUCCUCCUAAAUAAAGUUCUGACUGUCACUGGCACGCUGCCUGUGGACUCUGUGAAGGGCUCUGUCAACGGUCAGAUCAUCCAGUGCACCUUCUCUGCUACUCUCCCAGAAGCUACCAGGAGCACCAGGAGCACUGACACCAGCUUCGUCCUCUCCGUUUCCAACGGGACCGUAAUUAACGGAACCCUGGGUACUCCUAAGGUUGUCCUGGUCAGCAAUGCAGCCGUGGACCUGGCCAACCCCAACAGUACUGUGAUCAACUCUUUGAACGCCGCCCCCACUAAUUCUACUUCCUCCACUACUAAUACUUCCACCACUACUGCUACUUCCAACAUUGCUGCUACUCCCACCACUGCCUCCAGCCAUGCCUUGGGCCUGCAGCACGCCCUGUCUCAAGCUCUGCUGAUCCUGCUUGGUGUGCUAGGUAUGAUGAUGCUGUAA